rnacentral:lncRNA from 1 species
UCAGUUAAGCAAUAUUCCACACCAUUCUUCUCUUCCUCACAUAGACUCAUAAACAUCACAAAAACAAUUAGCUUUCAUGCCCCAAAUAAACAACAAAAUUCACGAAUUAGUUUCUUUUAUAAGUGUUCAGUGACCUACAUAGACAGUUAUAUUAAUUAUUUGAAUAGCAUAAGCAUUACUGACUUACCAUAUAGUUAAUUUGGAGCAAUAAAAAUAAGUUGGUUGGUUAAUUUGUAGAAAUAAUUAAUAUUGUGAAAUUAACUUGCAGAGGAUGAGAAAGAGACCACGCAUUUGGAGGCAAUGGAAGGAGCUAAGAGUCGUCUUCACUUUUUCGAGAUGGAUCUUCUUGACAGCGACUCCAUCGCCGCCGCCAUAAAGGGUUGCGCCGGAGUUUUCCACCUUGCAUGUCCUAACAUCAUUGGUCAAGUCAAAGAUCCUGAGGUUUGAAAACAAUAACUACUUAAAGACACUCUAAUUACAAUACUAAAAAUUUCAGAUGCUCUAGAUAUUUGUCUUCAGUACUUAGGCUCAACUUGUUAGUAUGGAACUAGAUCUUCUCUACCAUUAGACCCUCCAAAAGUGAAGAAAUGAAGAAACAUAUAUUUUUUUAAAAUAAUUAAAAAUUUAUACUAAAAAAAGAUUUUCUUAAUUUUUAAAUUUAUUUUAUUGAAAAAUAAUAUUAUUUUCUAUCACUUAUUGUCACUCAUCUCCAUACAAUACUAAACAGUCCUAGAGAAAAUCUUAAUUCUUACAUAGUUCAUUCAUUUGGCCUAUAUUGGUACCCAUAACUCAUUCUAUAAGGUAAGAAGUAACAAACCAAUGACCAGGAACUAUGUAAUUUUGCUAAUUACACACGGAUAAUUGGUCCAAAAUAUUAAAAAUUGUUUUGUUGAUUACUUGAUAAUGUAGAAGGAGAUUUUGGAACCAGCCAUUAAAGGGACAGUUAAUGUGCUGAAAGCAGCGAAGGAAGCAGGGGUGGAGCGUGUGGUGGCAACAUCAUCAAUCUCCUCCAUAAUGCCAAGUCCUAACUGGCCAGCUGAUAAGAUUAAGGGUGAGGACUGUUGGACCGAUCUUGAAUACUGUAGGGAGAAAGGGGUGAGCACGUGCUUUUGAAACUUUCUGACAAUAAUUGAUGUUUGUGAACGCAAUAACGUUACUUUUUUGUGAAAUAUGAAUGAUGAAUGAUAUACUACUAAUAAUAAAAAAAAUUAAACUUUAUAUAUAAAGGAUUUUUUAUGUUGAUGGGGCAGUUAUAUUAUCCCAUUGCAAAGACUCUUGCGGAGAAAGCAGGUUGGGAUUUUGCAAAGGAGACAGGUUUUGAUGUAGUGAUGAUAAAUCCUGGCACAGCAUUGGGCCCUCUGAUUCCACCAAGAAUAAAUUCCAGCAUGGCUGUGCUUGUUAAGGUUCUCAAAGGUAAUAUAAUAGUUAACUGAGAAAUGAAUGAUUAAUAUAGAAAACAAAAAAAUCUUUUAUAAGUUAGCUAUAUUAAUUAUUUACAUCCAUAUUAGUGUUUAUAACCUAAAUGGGAACAUGGAAGGCAACAUAGAUCUGGUACUCAGAUCUUGUCCUAUAUAUAAUCUCACAUAAAUGAUAAUAAAACAAAAAUAACAAUAAUAACAUAAGUUUGAAUUUUUUAAUUAAUAUAACAUAUUUUUAUUGAGGCAUGAUAAUGUAUGAAAUAUGGUUUAGGAAAACAAAUUUCUAUUAAUAUGAACAGUUCUUGAUUUUUAUAUUCUUUACCAAUUAUCAAAGGUAAAAAAACAUUUUUUUCUCAACAACUCCUUUGUUUUGGACCUUGUUACAGGCGACAAAGAGACCUACGAAGAUUUUUUUAUGGGAACAGCCCACUUUAAAGACAUAGCCUUGGCACAUAUUUUGGCCUAUGAGAAAAAGAAUGCUGCUGGAAGGCACUUGUGUGUUGAAGCAAUUCGUCACUAUGGUGAUCUUGUGGCAAAGGUUGCUGAGUUAUACCCUGAAUAUAAUGUGGCUACGUGAGUAUUCUAUACAAUUGCAUAUAAGCUAAGAGUUCAAUUUGGAAGAAAAAAAUUAAUUAAAUUUCCAUCUAUGUUAAUACAAAGUUUAAUUGAACAAAUAGUAAAAGAGAAAUUAAUGACACGGAACUGCUUGCUAGUUUUUUCUACAUUGGUUAAUCAACUACAAAGUAGAAAGCACUAUGUACCCGAAUAAGAGUAUCAAGCACAAUGCACCCAAAAAUAGUAGAAAGCACUAGACUUUAACAUCAAUUGCUUCAUUUAGUUUGCAAUAAAGCAAUGCUUUUCUAUUACUUGCAUAUAUCGGGGAACACAUUAUCUCAUGAAGUAUGUUACUUCGUGUGAUAAUAUUAUUUGUGAUUCGUUAAAAAAAUAAAAUAUUUUUUUAAUCAAUCACAACCAAUGAUAUAUAGAAUGAUAAAUUUUUUGGGUGAAAAGAUAACCACCCUAUUAGUGACUCUUGAAAAGGGGACUUGUCAGAAGGCCUUUAUUUUAGAAGAGUCACACCCUUCAUAUGGAGGGCUUCUAAAAUGCAUGAAUUUAGACCAAAUUCUAAAGUAAAUUUAUUAAUUGUUUUUACUAUCAUUAUUAGUGUUAUUAUUUGACUUUGUUUACAUAGGUUGCCAAAGGAUACACAACCUGGGUUGUUGAGAGCAAAGGAUCCAUCAAAGAAGCUGAUUGAUUUAGGUCUUGAGUUCACUCCAAUCGAUCAAAUUAUUAAGGAUGCAGUGGAAAGUUUGAAGAGCUUAGGUUAUGUCUAAAAUUCUCAAAUGGGACUGAUUGCACUGUCACAAAUGGUGAUGGUGUUAAUAUUCUUCCACCAUUACUUUAACUCGUAUUUCAUGCCAUUUCUGUUUUUAUUUUUCAAAUUUCAGUAGUGUGUGUGCCUAUGGUUUAAAAUAAGGGUGAACUUGCACUCUAGUCACUGGAAGUAUCAAUAUUCCACAAGAGUCCUUAUAUACUAUUGUGUAAUAAGUAAAAAUGGGAAAAGUGCAUAACCCUCUCUUAAAUUUUAUGUUUUUUUUUGUAAGUAGUUAUUAUAAAUUAUUUUUUCUUUCCAAUUAUUCUUUAGAUUUUAUUAGUUGGUGAAGUUGGUCUAGGUAAAUAUAUUGUUAAAUUAUUAAUAUGUCAACAAAGAAAUUACUAUAAUCACACUUACAAUAAUAGCAAUGCAAUAAUGUAUGUUAGUCAGCAUUGAUAUUCGCCAUUCGCAAGAAAUCAUCAUCAAAAUAUAAAAUUUAUUAAGAAAAAGAUUAUAAGUAAAUUUAAAAGUUAAAAGAAGUUAAUGCAGUAAUAUUAACAUAUAUAUAAAAAUAGUGAUCUACUACUCAAGUUUAAAAUAAAUGUAUAACAAAAAAUUUAGUUCAUAUUAAUUUAAUAUUAUUUUUAUGUAGGAAUCGAUUUCACCAACAGUUAAAAUUUUAAGGAGUAAGUAGGAAGAAAAAACAGUUCAUAAUAACUUCUUUCAAAAAAACAUUAAAAGUUAUAGUAUUCUUAUAGAGUUUUCUGGAUUAAAAUUGAGUGCUUUAAUCUUCACAAAUGGAAAACACUUCUCAAUUUGUUAACCAUAAGCAACUCCUUCAAAUAUUUUUUAUAUUGUUCCGAGUAGUACAUGUUUUGAUGCAUAAAUUGGUAAGGAUAUAAGUUCAUAAACCACAAUACAAUGGCACAUUUGCAUCCAUUUGCGGCAUAGUCAAACAUUACUAACAUUUCAGAAGUUCAUUUCUUUCUAUUAGUUUGCUUAGCGACAUGAUUUUAUAUGGAAAAAUAAAUAUUGAAUAAGAAACAAACUUGGCAAUUCUUUUUUGUAUUUAUGACAUCCUUUUUUUAGUCUUCUAUCAUUGUAUUACCGUAGACGAAUACGAAAAACUUGUAAGAAGAAUUAAUUAAAUUAAAAGAGCAUAUUUAAUAUAAGUUACUAUUUUUACUAUACACAUCUUAGGAGUGCUGAUGGUAUUGAGUUCUUAAUAAUGAUUUUUUUAGUUUCAAAAGGAAUCAUGCAUGAAAGAACUUUGUAGAAACCCUUCAUGAAAUGGAAUAGUAGAUAGAUAACAUAUUCUUAAUGUAGUCAAAGUCAUCUUCUUUUAGUUUGACUCACCUUCUAAACUUUGGAAUUUUAUCAUAUAAAAUUAUCAAUAAUUACAAAUGAAUUUAUAAGGUUGAAUAUCAUGUUGAUGACACAUUAAAAAGCUACAAGGUUAGACUUAUUGCUAUAUAUACAAUUACAUGAAAUGAAUGAUUAAUAUAGAAAACAAAAAAAUCUUUUAUAAGUUAGCUAUAUUAAUUAUUUACAUCCAUAUUAGUGUUUAUAACCUAAAUGGGAACAUGGAAGGCAACAUAGAUCUGGUACUCAGAUCUUGUCCUAUAUAUAAUCUCACAUAAAUGAUAAUAAAACAAAAAUAACAAUAAUAACAUAAGUUUGAAUUUUUUAAUUAAUAUAACAUAUUUUUAUUGAGGCAUGAUAAUGUAUGAAAUAUGGUUUAGGAAAACAAAUUUCUAUUAAUAUGAACAGUUCUUGAUUUUUAUAUUCUUUACCAAUUAUCAAAGGUAAAAAAACAUUUUUUUCUCAACAACUCCUUUGUUUUGGACCUUGUUACAGGCGACAAAGAGACCUACGAAGAUUUUUUUAUGGGAACAGCCCACUUUAAAGACAUAGCCUUGGCACAUAUUUUGGCCUAUGAGAAAAAGAAUGCUGCUGGAAGGCACUUGUGUGUUGAAGCAAUUCGUCACUAUGGUGAUCUUGUGGCAAAGGUUGCUGAGUUAUACCCUGAAUAUAAUGUGGCUACGUGAGUAUUCUAUACAAUUGCAUAUAAGCUAAGAGUUCAAUUUGGAAGAAAAAAAUUAAUUAAAUUUCCAUCUAUGUUAAUACAAAGUUUAAUUGAACAAAUAGUAAAAGAGAAAUUAAUGACACGGAACUGCUUGCUAGUUUUUUCUACAUUGGUUAAUCAACUACAAAGUAGAAAGCACUAUGUACCCGAAUAAGAGUAUCAAGCACAAUGCACCCAAAAAUAGUAGAAAGCACUAGACUUUAACAUCAAUUGCUUCAUUUAGUUUGCAAUAAAGCAAUGCUUUUCUAUUACUUGCAUAUAUCGGGGAACACAUUAUCUCAUGAAGUAUGUUACUUCGUGUGAUAAUAUUAUUUGUGAUUCGUUAAAAAAAUAAAAUAUUUUUUUAAUCAAUCACAACCAAUGAUAUAUAGAAUGAUAAAUUUUUUGGGUGAAAAGAUAACCACCCUAUUAGUGACUCUUGAAAAGGGGACUUGUCAGAAGGCCUUUAUUUUAGAAGAGUCACACCCUUCAUAUGGAGGGCUUCUAAAAUGCAUGAAUUUAGACCAAAUUCUAAAGUAAAUUUAUUAAUUGUUUUUACUAUCAUUAUUAGUGUUAUUAUUUGACUUUGUUUACAUAGGUUGCCAAAGGAUACACAACCUGGGUUGUUGAGAGCAAAGGAUCCAUCAAAGAAGCUGAUUGAUUUAGGUCUUGAGUUCACUCCGAUCGAUGAAAUUAUUAAGGAUGCAGUGGAAAGUUUGAAGAGCUUAGGUUAUGUCUAAAAUUCUCAAAUGGGACUGAUUGCACUGUCACAAAUGGUGAUGGUGUUAAUAUUCUUCCACCAUUACUUUAACUCGUAUUUCAUGCCAUUUCUGUUUUUAUUUUUCAAAUUUCAGUAGUGUGUGUGCCUAUGGUCUAAAAUAAGGAUGAACUUGCAAUCUAGUCAUUGUAAGUUUGUAACUAUCAAUAUUCGACAAGAGUCCUUAUGUAUGAACUCUUGUGUAAAUAAAAUGAGUGGUUUAAUCUUCACAAAUUGUCAAUACUUCUCAAUUUGUUCACCAUAAGCAGUUGCUUCAAAUAUUUUUUAUAUUGUUCCCAAUAGUAAAUGUUUUGAAGGAAAAAUUGGUAAGGAUACGAAGUUCAUAAACCACAAUACAAUGACAAUUUAUAUCCAGUUUCGGCGUAGUUAAACUUUACUAACAUUUCACUAUUUAAGAAAUUCAUUUCUAUCUACAAGUUUGUUUGCCAACAUGAUUUUAUAGGGAAAAUAUAUUGAAUAAUAAACAAACUUGGCAAUUCUUUUUCAUACAAAGACUUGUAUUUUUUUAUUUUCUAUAAUAGUAUUAUCCUAACAAGAAUACGAAAAACUUGUAAAAUAAAUUAAAAGAUCAUAUUUAAUAUAAUGUUUACUAUUUUUAUUAUACACGCCUUAGGAGUGCUAAUGGUAUUGAGUUCGUAGAGAUGAUUUCUUAGCUUGAAAAUGAAUUAUUAAUCAAAGAACUUAUAUAGAAACCUCUAGAUAAAAUGGAAUUACAGAAAUAAGUUAUUACAUUCUAAACAUAGUGAAAGUCAUUUUCUUUUAAUCUCACUCACCUUCUACACUUGAGAAUUUUAUCAUACAACACGCAAAGUCGCAAACUACAUUAUUAAUGGACAACUUACUCCUCUUAAUUAAAAUAAUUGCCAUUGCACAUCAUUGUAUCACAAGUUACCAAAUGUUAAAAGCUUUAAAGCCUUUAGUUGUUUAAGCUUUGCUAUUCCUAUUCCUAUUCAAUCAUAUAUAAAUCUAGGAAAUCAGUUCUCUUGGUUAUAGAGAACUAUCAAAAGACUACAUUUUUUAUAAUCUCUAAUCAUAUGAAAUAUUCAUUUCUAGAAAUGUAUUUUUUAAAAUUUAUUUCCCUUUCAAUAUAUGAAUCUCAUGAUAGUUCUCCUGUAAUAUCACCACCAAUCUUACCCUCCUCGUCUUCUACAUCGUCUUCACUUCCUUCCCCUCCACCUUUCCCUCUCACACAAUUUCUUGGAACAAGAAAACCACCUUUUAUUCUUCAAUAUUAUCAUUGUAACCUUGUUGAAGCCAUUUAUAAUUCCACUUAUUCAUCUUCAUAUACCAAUCAUCAUCUGCCCUCGAUAAUCAAUUAUUCUAAUUGCUUUGUUUGAUACGAUAUUUGUGUGCCUACAUGUUACUUUUGUUAAAGAACCUUCAUCAUAAACAAACUUCAAAGCUUCCCUAUUGGUAAGAUGUCAUGAAUACUGAAUUGCAAACCCUUGAACAAAAUCAAACAUGGUUUCCAAUAUGCCUUCCUCCAUGAAAAUUUCCUAUUGGUUACAAAUGAGUUUAUAAGGUUAACAAUCAUGUCGAUGACAUAUUAGAAAGAUACAAGACUAGGUUUGUUGCCAAGGUAUGCACUCAAAUGAAAGGGUAGACUAUUUUGAUAUACUCUCACCUAUUGCAAAAAUCACCACUAUUAGAGUUGUCAUUGCCUUAACUGGUGCUAAAUCAUUGUUUCGAGAAUAAUUGAAUGUUUACAAUGCCUUCUUACAUUAAGAAUUACAUGAAAAGGUCUACAUGACUCCUCCACAUGAAUUAUUACCUUCCAAUUCUCAAUAAGUGUGCAAACCAUAUAAAUUAUUGUAUGGUCUUAAGAAAGCAAGUCGAUAAUGACAUGCUAUUUUAUCAUCUACACUUUUAUAUUUAGGAUAUACAUAUUAUGUUCCUGAUCAGACCCUUUUUACAAAAUCUAAUCAUGUUGGAACUUGGUUGUAGGUGUGAAAUCUAAAAUAUUUUCAAGUCCCACAUGGAAGAGUUUUGAAGAAAAUAACUCCCAAGUCCCACAUUGGAGAGAUGAGGAACUUGAAAAAAUCCCAAGUUAUAAAUAGAAGCCUACUCCCUUCAUAUUUUCUUGCCCCAAGUUAAAUGUGCUUUCAUUCAAUUUUUUUUUCUCCCUCAUAUUUUUUGCUGAUGCAUUUCCGGCAAACUUCUCCCCCUUUCGUUCCGUGACACUAAGAAAUGGCACAAGCAGCCAUAUUGUGAGAAUUUUGAGAUCUGACACUGAUAGUCAGUAUUGGGGGAAAUGAAUUAGCACAGACAACCAUAUUGUGAGAAUUUCGAAAAUUGAUACUAGUAGUCAGUAUUGGGAGAAAAGAAUUGGCGCGGGUAGCCAUAUUGUGGGCAUUUUGAGAAUUGACAUUGGUAGUCAGUAUUGUGGGAAAAGAAUUGGCACAGGUAGCCAUAUUGUGGGUAUUUUGAGAAUUGGCACUAGUAGCCAUAUUGUGGGUAUUCUGAGCUAUUUUAUCCUAGGGACGGCGUGGUUGAUAGUCUGCUUGCACAUUUUUGGCAGUGCCAUGAAACAUCUUAAAGAGAGCGACCUGGUCGUGACUCAGUCACUAAGUAUUAUUUCGUACCAUUUAUAAUUGUUGCAAGCUACGAUAACAACAAUUUUAAGACGUUUCUACUACAAUGACAGUCGUAGAUAAUAUUAUUGGACCGAAUAGCUAUGACCUGAACAAACUCUUUCGAUUUGAUGGGACAAAUUUCAAACGUUAACAACAUAAGAUGAAAAUUUUCCUUACUAUGAGAAAAGUUGCACACAUUUUGAAAAUCAAUGUCCUAAUGUUGUUGGAGAAAGCUGGAAAAAAAGGAAAAGGAUAAACUAGCUAUUAAUAUAGCUCUCUAGAAUGAAAAUGAUUACUUUUACGAAUUUCAUUCUGAAUGAGUUGUCAGAUGAUCUUUAUUAUUACUACAACCCAUAUAUAUCUUCCAAAUUAAUUUGGUAUACACUUGAGAAAUAAAGAAAUAUGAUACCGAUGAAGUUAAGAUAAAAAUAUAUAUGAUGUUACCACUACCUCAAGUAUCAUAUGAGUGAUGAUAAAUCAGUAGAGUCUCAGUCCAAUGAGAUAAAAAGAAUUGCUCAUGAAAUUAUUUAUGAAGGUAUGCCCCUAGAGUUUUAAACUUGCAAGUAAAGCCUAUGAAUGUGUAUUCCUUGGGUAUGAUGUAAACAAUAUUGCGUAUAAGUAUUAUGACCUUAAUGCAAAAAUGAUCAUUGAGUCUAACAAUACAAACUUUAAUGAGAAGAAAUUCCUUUUUAAAUUGAGGAAUAGUGGGGACACUUCAACUAGUCACAUAUUUGUGAUUAUAGAUAAUGAUAAAAAAUAGAAAAGUUUGAAAUAGAACCUAGAAGAAGUAAGAGAACAAGAACAACAAGAGAGUAUAAACCUGAUUAUAUGGUCUAUUUAUUGGAGUAGAAUCUAUCAACUCUCCAAGAAGUUUUGACUUCUUUGGAUGUUGAUUUGUGGCGAGAAGCCAUAAAUGAUGAGAUGGACUAUCCAGAGUCUAAUAAAAAACAAACUAUUUUGGCUCAAUCUACUAUGGAAGUUGAGAUGAUAGCACUAGCAACAACUAGUGAAGAAACAAGUUGUCUGAAAAGCUUUCUUGUAGAGAUUCCCCUAUAAGAAAACUGAUGUCAGCUAUGUUGAUCCAUUGUGAUAAUAUCGUGACUAUUGCAAAAGUGAGAACCGCUUUUAUAACGGUAAGAAUUGGCAAAUUCGUCGUAAGCACAACACUAUUAGAGAGUUACCCUCUACAUAAGUUGUUAGAGUGGAUCAUGUACACAUUGAGAAUAACUUAGCAGAUCCUUUGACGAAAUGACUAACUAGAGAGAAAGUCCACAAUACUUCUAAGAGUAUGGGACUAUUGCCCCUAGAAUGAGGAUCACUCAUGAUGGUAACCCGACCUAACUGACUGGAGAUCCUAAGAAAUAGGUUCAAUGGGUAAUAACAAGUUGUGAAUUGAUAUGAGAAUGAAUAUGCUAUAAAAUUAUGAGAAGCAUGAUUCCUGCAGCAUAUUAAGGAUGAAUUAAAACUCUUAAUGAGAUCUAUACUCCAAUUGGAGUGGAGUACAUAGGUUACAAGAGUACUCUUGAUAGACUCACCAAUGUGAAUGUAGAAGUGGGGCCCGCUUCCUAUAAACUUUUGGGGCAUAAAUUUCUAAAAUGUUCACAAUACUAGGAUAGACUUGCAUGGCCUUUAAUGCAUGUGCUUUACAGAAUAUACCUUUAAAAAGGUUGUGUGUGGUUUGAUGCUGGAGAUAGAGUUCAAGACUACGAGUCACUCUAGUAAAAUCUGGACCUUACUCAAUAUGUAAAGGUUCAAGUCACAUGACACAUUUGUUUAUGCACAAUCUUAUUGAGACCACAAAAAAAUUCUUGGAAAUCGUUUUUUAAUUUCAAGUGGGCGAUUGUUGGAACUUGGUUGUGGGUGUGAAAUCUAAAUUUUUUUCAAGUCCCACAUAGAAGAGUUUUGAGAGAAAACAACUCCCAAGUCCCACAUUGGAGAGAUGAGGUACUUGAAAAAAGCCCAAGUUAUAAAUAGAAGCCUCAUCCCUUCAUAUUUUCUUGUCCCAAGUUGAAUGCACUUUCAUUCAACUUUUUCUUUCUCCCUCAUAUUUUUCGCUGAUGCAUUUCUGGCAAAAUUCUUCCUCUUUCUUUCUGUGGCACUAAGAAAUGGCACAAACAACCAUAUUGUGAGAAUUUCGAGAACUAACACUAGUAGUCAGUAUUGGGGGAAAAGAAUUGGCACAUGCAACCAUACUGAGGGAAUUUCGAGAACUGAUACUGGUAGUCAGUAUUGGGGGAAAAGAAUUGGCAUGGGUAGCCAUAUUAUGAGCAUUUCAAGAACUGACACUAGUAGUCAGUAUUGUGGGAAAUGAAUUGGCACAAGUAGACAUAUUGUGGGUUUUUGAGAAUUGGCACCGAUAGCCAUAUUGUGGAUAUUUUGAGAAUAGGACUGGUGGGUGUAUUUGAGAUUGGUUCUUACAGUGCAGUAAGAAUUCGAUAACAGAGAUAUGGGCUGUUUUAUCUUGGGGACGGCGUGAUUGAUAGUCUGCUUGCACAUUUUUGGCAGUGCCACGAAACGUCUUAAAGAGAGCGACCUGGUCGUGACUCAACUAGUAAAUAUUAUUUCGUGCCAUUUAUAAUUGUUGCAAACUACGGUAACAACAAAUCUUCUAUUUGUUAUAAUUCUCCUAGUAUAUGUUUAUGAUAUGGUACUCAUAGGAAAUGACAUGGAUGAAAUUAAUCAUGUUAAACAAAUCUUAGACAUGUCAUUCAAAAUAAAAGAUUUAAGUUCCUUAAGAUACUUCUUAUGACUUGAAGUUGCAAGAUCUAAGUUUGGAAUUCAUUCGAAUAUAGAAAGUGGACACUAUCAUUGCUAGAAGACUCUAGUUCUCUUCCUAUUAUGUAUGACAAGACACCAUUUGAUCCAUUCAUUAAACUUCAACUUCACCAAGGUGAUCAUUUUCCUAAUAUUUCUUACUACAAAAGUUUGAAUGGUAGAUUGUUAUACCUUACAAUUUCUAGGCUAAACAUCUCUCAUGUGAAAUUGAAGUGCACCAUUAGAGAUUGAUCUAUGUUUUGAUGAAGACAAACAUGAACACAAGCUUGAAGAUCAUUCAACAUACAACAUGUCGAGGACUCAAGUGGUGACUUGUUAGACUUAGGUUAUAAUUUUAUUAUCUUUUUAGAAGUCUAAGAUGCUUGACAUAGAUAUUGAGUCUAGGUUAGGUAAACGUAGGUGUGAGUCUCACGAGACUUAAUAAAGUAAUUAAUCCACUAAAAUGAGACAUCAUCUAGAAAUAUUUGAUAAUUAGGUUCAUGCAUUUGAAUACAUUGAUUUUGUGCAUUAAAGGUAUUAUAUUUGGAAAUCAUGUAAGGCAUGAGUAUAUAUCAUAUAGGUAGUUCACCAUACAUUAACAAGUUGAUUUUACACUGUUUAAUGGAUUAUGAAUUCUGUUAAUCUAUUAACGUAAUCGAUUAUGAAUAUUGUUAAUCGAUUAACAGAAUCACAUUUUCAACAUAAAACUGAAAAACUGAAAACCGUUAUUUUCAACAACCCGUUAAUCGAUUAAAUGAGUACUUAAUCGAUUAACUGGGACUUUAGACAACUUUCUAUUUUAACUAAAAUCUCAGCAUAUGUGACAUAUGAAUCCAUACAUUUUUUUACAUCAUUCUCUCUUCAUAUUUUCGAGUUACUCACUAUCAUAUCUAGGAGAAAAUAUUGCAUGUUGCAUUAGGAGAAAGAUUAGAUCAUGCUAAGGCUUUAAGUUUCAUAUUCAUAUUGCUUUUCUUUGAAAAGCUUUCUUGCAUCAUUCUUGUGUUUCUUGGAAAGAAAAGAGAUAGUUUUUAAUGAUUGCAUAAUUUCAGAAACCUCAUGCAUAUACAUUCAUAUUAGACUAGGAAGUAUUGUGAGUUCUUGCUUAGGUUUUAGUCUUUGAUCUUUAUUGUAAAAUCCGAGUAUUAAGUAUUCAUUCAUAACUCAAAACAUUGUAAUUCAAGGAUUAGGAAAAUCCUAGAUGCGGUUAGGUAAGAUGUUCUUCACAAAGAUUUGGAGGUCUUGGGAUAAAGAGCGAUACCUUGGCUGAGGCCGAAUCGUGGUAAAAAAGGUUUUCUUGGGAGGCAAUUUUAGGAAAGGUCAAACCAAGGGUGACGAAGUUCUUUGGGUUCCAAGAAAGGAGCAUCCGAGUCUUGUAAUUGGAAGCAUGUAUGUAACUAUAUAUUGUGUUCUAUCAUGAAGAAGAAAAUCUCACAAGAUCAGAAUUGGAGGCAUGAACGUAGUUUUGUAGUGGACCGCAAAAUGAACCAGGAUAAAAUCAUUGCGCAAUCUUUUCUAUCCCUUUCUCUUUUACAUUUCAAGUUGUAAUAUUGCAUGAUAUAACAUGAUAAUUUGUAUAUUGGUUCUGUGCUAUAACAAAUUUAAUUUUGUCUAAAAAUAUCUGUUAUAUCAUUGCCUGAUUUCUCAUAACCUGCCUUGCAAGAGAGUUGUUAAACAAGAUUUUAUGCAUUUUGUUUUUAUUGUGUUUAAUCGAUUAUGAACAAUGCUUAAUCGAUUAACUGGACAUUUUUCAGUAGGAGUGCAAAAACCCAAAAAGCGGAACUUGAGCUCCGCUACACCUAUUUAACCCCCCACUCUAGGUGUAUUCUGUCACUGAUACCUAACAUUAUGAUAUUCAACAUAUAAGUUUAUUCAUGUCUAAACCAAUGAAUUUGCAUUACAAGACUUCCCUUAGAGUUAUCCACUACCUUAAAGAAUCCCAUACUAAAGGCCUUUUCUUUCCUUUUGUAUCUAAUUUCAAGCUUUCACCAUUUACUAAUUCAAAUUAGGCUUGUUGCUUUGAUUGGGGAAAUCCCUCACUAGCUUUUAUAUUUUCCUUAAUUCAUCUCUUAUCUCUUGGUAAACCAAGAAGUAUAAUAUUAUUAGUCAUUCUUCAUAUCAAGCAAAAUAUUGAGAUAUUGACAGUUACUUAUAAAAUUCAAUGACUAAAUUACCUAUUUCUUGAUUUACAAAUACCCUUGCUAAUCUAGGUUUUUUUAUUCUCACAAUAGAUUAACUAUAUACCUAACUCACAAACAUGUUUUUCACGAAAUAAUUAAACCUAUAAAAAUUAAUUAUUGUGCUGUUUGAGAGAAAAUCAAGCAAGAUCUUAUCCAUCCAUCUAUAGAGACUCAAGCCUUUCUGUAUUUCAUUCAAUUGAGAAGCAAUAUUGAAAGCAACCAUUCAAUUUUCUUAUCCUUAAAUGGGCCCCACAGUUUAUUUUAUAACUGUUCACAUUUCCCAUUAAAUUAAACAAUUUUUCUACUUUUCACUUCAAUGGUGUAACUCACAUUUUGUCCUUAACUGAACUCCUUCAUUUGUCUACUCGUUCAUUUAAUCAAGCGUUAUUAAAUAGUUGAAAGUACACAUUUAACAGCGCUCAUUCAAGUGAGCGUUGUUAAAUGUCUACUUUAUACUUUUAAUAGCACUCACUCAAACGAAUGUUGUUAAAUGUCUACUUUUAACAACGUUCACUCAAAUGAGCGAUGUUAAAUGUCUAUUUUCUAAGUUUAACAUCGCUCACUCAAACGAAUGUUGUUAAAUGUCUAUUUUCUACUUUUAACAUCACUCACUCAAGUGAGCGCUGUUAAAUGUCACUUUCUCUACAUAUGAAGAAAAUAGAGUUGUUGGACGUUCUUCCCCCUUUUAUUGUUGGUUAAUAUGUUUCCCCUUUCUUUUUCUUCAUUUUUUGAUUAUUUUAAAGGAUUUAUAGAAAUAAGAACCAUGCUCUAAUUAAAGACUAUUUACGAACAAAAAUAAAUCACUCCCAAUGCCACCAAAAUUUGCGAACAAUCCUUAUUUUAUUAAGGACUACCGCUAGAAAUAAGAACUGUGCUCUAAUUAAGACUAUUUACGAACAAAAAUAAAUCACUCCCAAUGCCACCAAAAUUUGCGAACAAUCCUUAUUUUAUUAAAGACUACCGCUAGAGAUACUCUUAUAAAACCAAGACCAGAUUUACUAUAUCUAAUCAUCACUUCGGUAAUUGUAGUGUCAAUUUGCCGAAACUUUCUUCUCUAUUUGGUAUUAUUUGGACUUUGUUAUGGAUGUAUGGUCAAUAAACAAUUAAGUUGAUUGUUUUUUAUUUUGUCUUUCAUUGCACUGGGAAAUUGACUUAUGACGAAUGAAGGUGCAUUACAAAUUUUUAUGCCCACCUGAAAAAUCUUAAUGAGGCUAACUAUAAAUUUGUUUUGUUGUAUUACGGAAUAUUACCUAAUGUAUAUAUGGCCAUAUGGGUCGAUUUUAUAAAAAUAUGGUCCAGUUGUCUUUACCCCCUAAACUAUCAUUAAUUAAUAAAUUAAAUGUAAUAAUGUACUAUAAAGACUAAAAGAAUAGUGUAUGUCCAACAAAAAAAAAUACCCAUUUUAAUUCUUGUUUAGAUGAAAUAUCUUUUUUUUGUUAUUGAUCGAUCAUCUUUUAAACUUAAGCAUUUAUUAAUUUUGCAAUAAGGCGUUGGUCUAGUGGUGUAAGAUCUCACUGGAUCCCAAAGUUGAUGGUUCGACUCCUAGAAGUGACAUUAGUUGGAAGGGGCAGUCAUGAACCCAAAAUGUAUUAGUUUCACACCCAAAAAGGUGAGAGAAUAAUCUUGGUAGUACCAAUAAAUACUAAUACAAUUGUGUCACAUGUUUUCUUCUACUUGCCUUGUGUACUUUUACUUUUUUAUUACCAUUUUGGUGCAAAUUUUGGAAAUAUUAUGGAAGAGGUGUAUAUUUUAGUGGAUUCGUGUAUGUCAUACACGAGUUCUUUAUUUAUUGUUUUUGUCCAUUACAUAACUUGUGUCUCUCAUUCACGAAUCAUUUGUUUAUUGUUAGAAGCUCAGUGGCUUAUGGGGCUGGUAAAUGAAUUAGGCAUUGAGCAAUGUGGAGUUCCGCUGCAUUGUGACAUUCAGAGUGCUAUCUUCUUGGCAAAGAAACAGUUGUGUCAUGCUAGAGAGUUGGUAGCUUGUGAGCAGAUACUAUUGCAGAAGGUUCACACCUCAGAAAAUGCAGCUGAUGUGUUAACCAAGCUGGUUAUCAUGGACAAGUUCUGGCAUUAUCUGAGCUUGUUGAACAUUCAGUGAUGCUAGACUAUGGAGUAUCGCCAACCCAGUGGCGGGAGAUGGAGAUUUAUGAUAUUCGCCAAGGUGGAGAGUGUUGUGCAAUGACUCAUAUUCUCUAGGUAACAAUAAUACAAGUUGUGGGAUUAGGCUGAUGUAAAAGGGUUGAGGUAGAGAGCUACAUAUUUAGGUUAUGUAAACCUAAUGUAAUAAAGGGAAGAAUAGUCAAACACAAAUUUUUAUUAUAUAAUAAUACAUAGUGGUGGUAUGUUAACGCUCCCAAACACGUACACACAAUUGGCUGAACUUCAUUACCAAAUUCAUUGUGUUAUUCUCUUAUCUUUACUCUCUUACUAUUUGAUUGUUUGCUUGUUCCCAAUAAAUAUAUAUAUGAGCAUAUAUUUAAGUGACUCAUAUAUUUAACUACCAAUACAUACAUAUUUCCUUCCUUGCUUGCAUGUCUUUUUCUCCCUCCUAGUCUCUACCAACCGAAAGCAACCUUCUGACAUGACAAUGAUACCACUCAACGCACACAUGUGAAGUUAUUGACACCAAAUAACUCUAAGAACACAUCAAAUUGAGUAAAUAAUAUCACCGUUUAAUUUUUAUCCACCCUUUUUAUACAUUAUCCAUAACUAUCAAUUUAACACCUUAUUCAUAUUUUCACAUAUUUCAUAUCCAACACACAAUUAAACAAUUUUUCCACCACUAGUAUUUCUUUGUGGAUAGACUAAUACCUCUUAAACCAUAAAAGAUUUGAACAGUAAGUUGUCUAUGUUAGUUAUUUCUUGAUGAUUGGUGAAAUAUUAAUCAUAGAAUCUUGAAUCUCUUGAUUUUCACACAUAGUAUAAAAAAAAGAUAUACAAAGUCAUACUUGAAUCCAUGUUCUCAUAUCUACUCAUUUGAUAUACAUUUUGAGAGAGUUUUGGUAAGAUGGUCUUCCUCAACCAAAUCCUUAAUUCCUUUUGGGACCUUCAUUUUCUCUCUGAUAGGGAGAGGUGAAAACUAUUUGCAAUUUGGUGUCUUGGUGACGAUAACAAUUCCUUAUGUGUUAACUUAUAAGGUUCUCAUUAUCCCGUAUAGGGUUCUCAUUAUCCCGUAUAAGUCAACGUUUGGGUAUCCACUCAUUAAGCUCAUAUCCAUUAUCAGUUUCAGAAGUCUUAUAAGUUGUCAUUAAUUAGAUCACUUGUUUUGUAACCCAAAAAUAAAUAGUCAAUAUAAUUGUAUUAAAUAUAUGAUAUCAAUUAGAAAUUAUGAAUUUCUAACAAUCUUCCUAUUGAGAUUCAUAUUUUUCUUGGAACAAUUAUAUCACAUAUUCUUUAGGUGUACAUCCCUAUGCUAUUUAUAUUUAAACUUCUCCUUAAUAAAAUCUAGUCCAUCUCAUAUAUCAACUAUGAAACCACUGCGGCCUUCAUCACAUUCAAAUGUGACUCGACCAUGAUGAUCAUCAUAUCAAUAUACUAAAUGACAUAGAUCAAAUAUGGAUGAGUGACAUAGAAAUUUCAUGCAAUGUAAUCUUAAACAUGUCUAUUUCCAACUGGUCCUUCUUUAUUCUUUAGUGAGAUCAAUUCAGAGUCCUUCAUUGCAACACAAUAGUUACAAUACACAAGUUCAAAAUAGAACAAUAAACCAUCAACUUUAUUAUGUAUAAAACUAUAUAUGACGUCCAAAGUAAAUCAUAAAACAUAUAGACUCCCAAUGAACUAAGGUAUCCUAAGGAGAAAUGUUCAUAUGAGCAAUAUGCUCAUAAAAGACUUUAUGUACCAAACCCUUAGUCAGUGGAUCAACUAACAUAAAAAUUGUUCAUAUAUGUUCUAUGGAAAUUUGUCUAUUUUGAGCACUUUCUUUAACAAUCAGAAACUUGAUGUCAAUAAAUUUUGAAUUUAUAGAAUUCAUAUUAUUGUUGGAGUAAAGAAACAUGGACUUACUAUCACAAUAAAUUCUAGGUGGUCUUUUAGUACCAUAAACCACGCGUAAGCCAGUGACAAAUUUUUUGUAAACACAUGUCAUGGUCCGAUGUUUCAAAACAAACCAUAAACUCUGCAACCAUUGUUGAAGGAGCUAUGAGCGUCUACUUAGCAGACAUCCAAGAGAUAGCACAUUCAUCCAAGAUAAAUAUAUAUCCAAUGGUGGAGUGUAUGGUGUCUAUACACCCAAAAAAAAGGAGUCAGAGUACCAAAAGAUCUCUAAAUUCUCAGACAUUCGAUAAGUGAACAUGUACUCAUUUGUUCUCUUUAAGUAACACAUAACAUGUUUGACUUCCUUCUAGUGAUGUAUUACAAGAUUGCCCAAAUAUCUUUUCAAAACUCCCAUGACAAACGCUAUGUUAGGACGUGUACAAACUUGAGCAUACAUUAGACUUCAUAGUACAAAUGCAUAAGGAAUCUUUGUAUCUCGUAUUUUUCAAGGUCAUUUUUGGGGCAUUGUUCGAGACUAAAUUUGUCUCCCUUAGCUAUAGGGGUAUCCCCUGGUUUACUAUCUUUCAUGCCAAAUUUAUCUAGAACUUUAUCUAUUUAGCUUUCUUGUGACAACCUUAGGAUACAUUGAGAGCAAUCUCUUAGUAUCUCAAUUCCUAAUACAAAAGAAGCUUCCUUGAGAUCUUUCAUUUCGAAAUUAUUCAUUAGAAAUAUCUUGGUCUAAUGCAAUAGUCCCAUAUCACUGUUAGCAAGCAGUAUAUCAUUGACAUAUAAUACUAGGAAUAUAAAUUUACUCCUACUAAACAUGUGGUACAUGUAAUCAUCAACUUUAUUUGCCUCAAAAUCAUACGAGGUAAUAACUUGAUGAAAUUUGUGAUUCCAUUGGCGAGAAGCUUGUUUAUGGCCAUAGAUGGAUUCCUCUGUUAACCUGAUGUCAUCCUCAUGUUCUUAAAGAAAUACAAUAUAAUGAUCAAGAAUUGCCCUUCUAGAGAUCUCCUUAAUGUUACUUCUACUUCUUGAAGUUGUGGUAUUUGUUCUAUAGGUGCUUGAGGGAGAACCUCAUUGUUGUCUUGUUAUGGAAUAUUGUCACGAACAAUAUUCUGAACAGUGUCUUCUAUUACCAAAUUUAUUCCUUGAAUGGUAAUAGGCACAAGAACUUGUUUAACUACUAGUGACAUGUUCUUCCUCAAAGACAACAUUCCUUAUGUUCUCUUCAUUCCCAAAAUCAAUUUCCUCAAGAAAUCUUGCAUUUCCCGUCUCAAAAAAAAGUCUUGAAGUGGGAUCAUAAAAUUUGUAGCCCCAAGAGCGUUCAACAUAGCCAACAAAAUAGCAGCUAACUAUUCUUGAGUCCAGUUUCCUUUCAUGUGACCUAUAACGUCGCGCCUUAGCUAGUCAACCCCAAAUGUGCAAGUGUUUUAAGCUUUGUUUUUUAUUACUCCAAAACUCAUAUGAGGUUUUGUUAACUCCUUUAUUUGGCACCCUAUUAAGGAUGUAAACUGGUGGUCUUUAAAGCUUUCCUCCAAAGAGACUUUGGCAAUGAAGAAUGGCUAAUCAUACUUCUCACCAUAUCCUUAAGAGUUCGGCUUAAUCACUCAACAACACCCUUCAUGUUAGGUUUGCCUAGAAUAGUGUAUUGCAGAACAAUUCCACAUUCUCGAAGGAAAACACAAAUAACAUUUUCACAACAUCCUUAUUGUUCUUUCUUUUCUUAUUUCGAGAGGUCAUAGCCAAAUGAGAACUUUGUGUCUUAUCUCUCUACAGCCUCACUUUCUCUUGCACAUAGUCCUUCUAAGUGUUAUAACUCAUUUUGAGUUGCCCAAAGUGUACAGGAUCAAAAGCAAGUGCAUGAGCAAGUCAUCAUCAAGCUCUAACUUAAGUGACUUUAGAUUUGAUGCGAGAUUAGAAAUCUCCAUAAUAUACUCCCUUAUGUUCCAUUUGUCUUUAUACUUCAUGGAGAUGAGUUUACUCAAAGGCUACUCGUCUUCACCUUUUCAUUUUUGGCAAAAAAUUGUUCUAUUUCUUCGAUGAACUUCCUUGCACUUUGACCAUCAGAAAUAGAGCCAUGAAACGCUUCUGGAAAAGAGCAUUUCAUGAUCAUUAUGCACAUUAGGUUAGAGCGUUCCCAUUUCUUAAUUUUGACCUCAUCGAGGAUUUCCGUAGUAGAAAUGGAUUUCUCCACUUGAAGUGCUAGAUCUAAAUCCAUACAGCCGAGAAUAAUUUCUACGACUUCCUUAUAGACCUUAAAGUUUUUCCCAUUUAACAAUGAGAUGUUCUUAAUUUGAGCAUAAAAUUUGAAGCACUAGUAAAAGAACAAAGCAAAUUGCAAUCAUCAUUGCAAUUAAACUCACAUUCAACUUUAAUACUUAAAUUCAAAUGAUGAUGGGCCAUAUCACGAGUUACCUAGCACAACAUUAAUAUUCAGUCUUUGUACAAAAAUAUUAACUUAUAAGUGGUGCACUCAAUGUAGUAAUCAAACAUUGAUAAUCAGUAUUGUCAAAUAAUAAGCCUUUCUUUGGACUGACUUACUAUUCACAUGGAAAGUCAUAUGAUUAUCACAUAUUUAUUGCUACAAGUGUGUUUGUAAUUUGUGCCAAAUAAUAAUCUUCCUUUGGGCCGAUCACUAUUCGCAUAAAAUAUAGACAUACAAUUGGUUUGAUAUUUCAUAUCAAUCACUAAUGAUACUCUUGUUUAUAACGGUCAAACAUUGAUCAAAAUACAUGUCAAAUAAUAAACUAUUUUUUGGACUGAUUUAUCAUUUACAUAUUUAACUUUAUAAUAAUCACAUGUUUACCAUCACAUGUGUGUAUACAAUCCGGCCAAAUAAUAAUCUUCAUUUGUGUCGAUUAAUACUCGCAUGGAUACAUAUAUGUACUAAUAUCUGACAUUUAUUAUGAACAACUCACAUAAAAUAUGUCACUUUGGCGACUUCUUGUUUAACAGGUUCAGUUAUAAUGUCAAACAAUUUUAUUUUCCAAAAGAAAAAACCAUUUAGGUGAGUUUGAUUCAACAUAACCUUAAUCCAAUGCAUAUAUUAUUUAUAUUCACAUAUAAAUACAUAUAUUUAUUAUAGUCUAUUGGUAGCAUUACAUCAUUCUCAUCACAAGAAUGUGCGUUUCGAAUUCUAGUGACGAUCCUUUUGAAUCUUACAAAAAAAAAUAUUAGCAUUUUAUACCUAACAGGACACACUGUUCAAAUGGAAACAAUGCUUCAACAAUAACAACUCCUUAAUAAUGGAGUCAGCCACCAACCAAUGCAACAAACCAUGAAGUGUUGUAAUCAUUUAAACAAACAAGUUAAGUAAUAUAUAUAAAACAAGACAUAUUCACAUAAUAGACUCAUCACAUGAUACCUAGGACAACAUUAAUUUCUAGUCUUUGGACAGAGAAAUUAAUUUGUUGGUAGUAUUCUCAACGUAAUUUGUUGCUAGGAGGGAGGUAUGGCGAUGAACAUCGGAGGUUGAGAGCAUCGGGACGUAGGGGUCUGUAUGGUGGAGGAAGGAAACACGACGGUGGUUUAUGGUGGAGUGGGUUCUUGACAAUGGGAGGCAACGAAUGUAUGGCCAUCUCCUCUCUUCUCUUCUUCAUUUUCGUUUUCUUACUCGUUAGAUCGAUUGGUUAUAGUAAUGGUGGUAUUAGGUUGUUUUUGGGGUUUUCGUGUGAAUGAAACGAAGGAGAGUGAAGACGACGUGGUGAGGUGGUUCAUGGUGGUUUCCAAUUUGGGCAUUUAUUCUCACGGUUUUAUUCUCACGGUUUUAUUCUCACAGAGUCUCCUUAAAAUAGAGGGAGGAAACCAACAGGGUCAGCGUAUGGUGACGUUAAUUUCGCACGAUUGGUUAUUGGCAAAAGAUUUUGGUAAAGAACCCUAUCCUCUUUCAAUCUAACUUUACUUAUUUGACAUAGUAUGAAGUAAUUAUUUAUAUGAAAAAAAACUAAUUGGUAUGGAUGUUUGUCCAGAAACAAAUUGCAUUUCAAAGCUUUAAAGGAAUUAUUGAACAUUAGUUACUUUUGUCCUUGGCCAAACGUCUGUGUAUGCAUUUUUAUAUAAUCAAUUGAAUGAGAAUGGGCUGUAUAUAGCUUUGUGUAAUCAAGAUGAAUGUUUAUAAUUUAGCAUAUAAAUUCCAAACACAGAUUAGCAACCAAAUGAAAGGAAUAUGCUUGUUACAUUAUAACCUUGUUGUAAUUGCCUUUUUCUUUGCAUUCUUGAUCAACAACCAAUCCUUUUUUGUGUAUAUGUGUGACACGUUUCCCAAACAGUCUUAGGUCACUCUAUGAUAAUAGUUUUCGACUCCCUUUGUAUGAUGUAUAUUUCGAAUGCCUCUUGAAUGUGCGUGUAGCAAUCUGGGUGUGUAUGAGGUAUGUUCGUGUAUACUCAGGUGUGAUGUGCAUGUGUAUUCUGAAUUGCGGGGUUCUUUCUUACUGUUUCUGAAUUCUCUGCAGUAUAUGUCAUGCCUAAUAACAAAAAUGUAUAUUUGUGUCGAAUAGUCUUGUUGUACUUUUUGUCAUUGUGUAGCGUGUGUGCGUGCUACCUUUCAUAGUUGAGUAUGGGUUAAUACAAAAACCCUUUAAAUUACUAACUUAAAUUUAGUAAUAAUAUGCCAUACUUUUUGCUUUGUGAUUAUAUCACUCUGAAACUGCUCAAUAAUUAUACUCAUUCAUGCUUAUUAUGAUUAUUAGUGCAUUUGUAACUUACCUUAUAAAAUUAUGUUCAUUAGUGUGCCUUUGUAACAGUUCUUCAGUUAUGGAUGAUGAAUCAAUCAAAAAAACCUUAGCACUAGAUCUGCAACAAGUUGAGCAAAAGAUGAAGACUUAUCCUCUAGCACUGUUGUAUGAGUAUCAUACUCCUGAAUAAGUCGUUGAUCAAGAAGCAAAACCAUAUUACUGUCAAUAACAUAUGUUAUUCUAUGUACAAAUGUAAUGACAGUAGAGUUAGUGAAAUGUUGCUUAAGAGUUUGUUGGAUCAAAUUAUAAUGAAAUUUCUUUUCUUGAUGUGGUGUACCCAGAACAUAAGGUGUUGCAAUUUUGAGAUACUAGGCACAUUAUCAUGUGAAGGACUAUUAAUUUUGUUGUUGGGAUUUGUGACAUCUAGCUGAACCUGGUUAUUAUUUUUAUUGGCUUCAUUAAUUUGUUAUAGGAAAAGUAUCAUUCUCAGGACUUGUUAAACAAAUGACACAUCUUCUUUAAAGAAGAUAAAUGAGAUAGACGACCAAAGGUCAUAUGCACCGUGUAACUGUAUAUGAGCAAAAUUCCUUAAUCAAUAUCUUUAACGGUGUAACAAUCUCAUGUAAAUGCAAAGUCGUUAAGUUUUGAAUUGAAAUGGUAAGAAAUUAAGAUAUUUCUAAUCAUUGAUCAUGAACUAGACAUUCACAGGAAAUACAUUUGGUUCUGAAAUGUAUCAUAAAUAUUUUCAUUCCAAAUUUUGUUGAUUUAAAACUUUUAAUAUUUUUGUAAAGUGACCGGACAAAAUUGAGUGUUCACAGUUACCUCUCUUUAUUUGUUGCUCACUUGAUAGCAAACAAACUGAAGUUAGUAUGCUAUCAUAGUAAGUAACUAGUAAAGAAAUGAACAAAUUUUGUCAAGGCCGAGAUAAUAAUCACGGCGCAACACUUAGAGUGAGAACUCGGGUUGGGUAUUGCCGGAACUCCAUAAAAUAAAAAGGUUUAAGCGAGAAAGCGGGUCGGGUGCUGUCGGAACUCCAUAAAAUAAAAAUAGGUAGGUGCGAGGAAGCAUGACAUAUACUACCGAAAAUCCAAAAUUCACAUCAGGCUCGGGGUCCUGCAAAGAUUGGUUGGAAGCACAUCAGGCUCGGGGUCCUGAAACGCAAAGAUUUUAAAAUGGGAACGCAUGUGGGGUACAGUCGGAACUCGGAAAUUCACAUCAGGCUCGGGGUCCUGAAAAGACUGGUUGAAUAGCACCUCAAGCUCGGGGUCCUGGAAAGCAAAGAUUUUAAAACGAGAACGCAUGUCGGGUACUGCCGAAACUCGAAAAUUUCACAUCAGGCUCAAGGUCCUGGAAAGUUGGUUUGAUAGCACAUCAUUCUCGGGGUCGUGGAAAGCAAAGAUUUUAAAACGAGAACGCAUGUCAAGUACUGCCGGAACUUGGAAAUUUCACAUCAGGCUCGAGUCCUGGAAAGUUUGGUUUGAUAGCACAUCAGGCUUAGGGUCUUGGAAAGAAAAAGUUUUAAUACGAGAACGCAUGUCGGAUACUGUCGGAACUCAGAAACUCACAUCAGGCUCAAAGUCCUAGAAAGAUUGGUUUGAUAGCACAUUAGGCUCGGGGUUCUGGAAAGCAAAAGUUUUAAUCGAGAACACAAGUCAGGUACUCCUAGAACUCGGAAACUCACAUCAAGCUCGGGGUCCUAGAAAGAUUGGUUUGAUAGCACAUCAGGCUCGGGGUCUUGGAAAGCAAAAGUUUUAAUACGAGAACGCAGGUCGGGUAUUGCCGGAACUCAGAAAUUCACAUCAGGCUCGGGGUCCUGGAAAGUUUGGUUGAAAGCAUAUCAGGCUCGGGGUCCUGGAAAGUUUGGUUGAAAGCACAUCAAGCUCGGGGUCCUGGAAAGCAAAGAUUUUAACACAUAGGGUAGUGAUAUGUAAUGCUUGAGAAUAUCUCGUGUAUUAUGUUGAGAAUGAUGUGAGUCAUGUCAUGUAUGAGUAAUGAAUAAAUGUGUAGAUCUCUUGGUUUAUGAUAUCGUAAUUUUCUAAAAAUCAAACGAACUUCUUUUUAUGGACUAGACUGAAAUGCGACUCAUGUUGGACAUUGUUAAAAGAGACUAUCUGUCAGCGCCUCGCCAUCCAAUAUGCCCUAGUUUCAUGUUAAGAAUUUAUUGGAAGAGUUGAAUCGUCCAAUAAAUUGCCCUAAUAUCUUUGUCAUAGACUAGAUGAGAAUCUUUCUAUACAGAGGUUAUGACUCUCACCUCAAAAAAAACGAUCUCAUUUUCAUUGGUUGAGGAUGAGCAAUAAAUUGCCCCAAUUUACACUUUGACCGAUGAACGUUUUUUAUUUAACUUGUUUUUUAUUUUCAAUCCUCGGGUUAGAUUGGGAAAUGACGUAGGUAGAGUGUAUUUAUUUAUUAGAAAAAAUAUCCUUUCUGGUUGAACCGGUCAGUACGAAAUUUUUUUAUUUUAUACAUAUACAAUCUAGAAUUCAUCACCUUGUAUAUAUUGAGAAUUAAAAUAUACAUGUAUAUAUAUGUAACUGUUUCCAACUUGAGGUUGUUGUGAUGUUUGAAAUUACUGAUUAAAGUUAAUACAUAUAUACCUUAUACAUAUACUUUAACAAAUUGCAAAAUUGACAAAAGUCAAUGUCCAACACUAAGGCAUUAGUGCACAUAUAAUAUACAUAUUGCAUAAUAGAGUCAUCAAAGUUAAUGCAAUGUUCAUGUAUAGAUCUGAAUACAUACUUCAACACAUGUUGCAAAGACUAAUAAUACAAAUUACUCAUAAUUCAAAUAAGCGGAAGUGAAUAAAAGUUAUCUCAUUAUUCCUAAAUAUCCUAUUUUCAUAACUAAUAGCGGAAGCAUAAAAAUCCCCAAAUUUAAAAAUUAGGGCUCAUAAAUAAAUUGGGGAGAAAACAAAAUUAAUGGAGAAUCAUAAAAUUCAGAACCUAAAACUCUGACACCACUUGUUAAAUAUUUCCUAAUGAUCGGUGAAAUACCAAUCCUAGGAUCUUGGAUCACAUGAUUCUCACACAUAAUAUAAAACAAUGAUACAAAGUCAUACAUGAAUCCAUGUUCUUAGAUCUACUCAUUUGAUAUACAUUUUGAGAGAGUUUUGGUAUGAUGGUCUUCAUCAACCAAAUCUUUAAUUCCUUUUGGGACCUUCGUUUUCUCUCUGAUAGGGAGAGGCGAAAACUAUUUGUGAUUUUGUAUCUUUGGAACCUUAAUCGUUCCUUGUGUAUUAACUUAUAGGGUUCUCAUUAUCUCAUAUAGGUCAACGUUUGGGUAUCAACUCAUUAAGCUCAUAUUCGUUAUCAAUUUCAGAAGUCUUAUAGAUUAUCAUUAAUUAGAUCACUUGUUUUGUAACACCAAAAUAAAUAGUCAAUAUAAUUGUAUUAAAUAUAUUAUGUCCACCUUAAUUAUAAAUUAUGAAUUUCUAACUAUCUAUACCAAUAAAUCUUUUUCCUAUAUGUGUAGAGAUCCAACUAUUCAUAUUAUGCUUACUGAAUUUAUUCACUUUUAUUAAUUAAGUUAAGUCUAGUUGGCAACAUCAUAUUAUUUAGCUGACUAUCUUCCCGCCUAAUCGAUGAAGAGUUUAAUUUCCUAAUAUAUGGUAGAUUCGUAAAGGGAGCUACUUCUACAGAAAUCUUAUAUAGGAAAAACCCAUAUCAAAAGUGUUAUUAUUCUAAUAAUAAGAAAAUGUUUGAUCGACUAGGCUUAAGUUACCAAAUCUCAUAUCAACACGUGUUACAAUUUUCCCCAAUAUAAGUCAAGUUUAGAAGAUAACCUAGUAAAUCAUUAAGGUACAAAUGAUAUAAUAUUUUUACUUCUAAAAAUGUUGAAACUUUCUUUGUUGGAGGCCAAUUGUGAGGAUUUUUUGGUAUGAAAUAAAAAAAAAUUCAAAAAUCUCACAUAUGAAGAAUUUUGAAAAAAAAUCCAUAAGUCCCACAUAGGAUGGAGGAUUAAUUUGUCCCAAAUUGAGUUCUCUAUUCCUCAACUUAUUUUUUCUCCUUUAUAAUCUUUAUCAACGCAUUUCCGACGAACUUCUCUCUAUUUUUGUGGUACUAGAAUUGACAUAUGUAACUAAAUUGUGAUAAUUUCGAGAACUGAUACUGUUAGUGAAAUUAUGUGAAAACAAAAUUGGUAUGGGUAGCCACUGUGAGCAUUUCUAGAAUUGAGACUGAUAGUUAUAUUGUGGUGGGACAUAUUCGACAUCAGUUCUAGGAUAAAAUAAGGAACUUGACUGUUUAUACCAGAGACGGUGUGGUUGCUUACAAAUUUUGGGUAGUGUAACAAAAUGUCUUAAAAAGAGCGACUUGAUCCUAACUCACCCAAUAAGUAAGAAAAAAUAAUUUGUGUUCAUUUUAUACCAUCCUACUUAUAUAUAGUUAUUAUUAAGAUGUGGCUCUUAUUUAUAGUACAUCUAAGCUUUCUUUGUUAAGUCUUGGAUGCUUGCUCACCAAGUCUCUAACUUGCUCACCAAGUCUCUAAACUUGCUCACCAAGUCUCUAAACUUGCUCACCAAGUUUUCUAAUCUUGCUCUCCAAGUUUCAAAGUCCCUUCUACACCUUUUGCUUAUAAAAUGCAUUACAUGGAGAGCUUUGUUACAUCACAAAAAUUCAACAACUACAUUACUUACAAACUAGAGUGUUUGUGUUUAUUGUAUGAGUGAUUUUGUGGUAAGAAUUCUUAUUCUAUUUGAGAGAAUAUUUGUGAGACAAAAUAUUGUCAUUUGUCCUCAUCAUUGUAAGAUGAUUUAUUGUACUUUCCCCUUUUUACAUAGUGGAACUUUGCUCGUGAUCGUUCAUGGUUUUUACCUCUCAUAAUGAGGGGGGUUUUCCACGUCAAAUCUUGUGUGUUAUUUUCUUGCUCCUUUACUUGCUUCUCUUUAGUUCAUAAUUGAUCUGAUCAUGUGCUUCUCCUUAGCACUUUAUCCCUAACAAGUGGUAUCAGAGCUCUUACUCCAUUAACAGUUUCAAAAUGUCUAAAUUUGACACUGAGAAGUUUGAUGGCAAGAAUAGUUUUUCAAAAUGUCUAAAUUUGAAAAUCUCAACAAUCCCCUGAAGCUGCUAAUAUUGAAGCUGAUUCUAAAGGUGAUAUUAUUUUAUUUGUUGUCUCUUCUAAUAAUAUGAGUAAAUUAGAAUGGAUUCUUGAUUCAGGAUGUACUUUUCAUAUGUGUCCUUAUAAGGACUUAUUUACCACUUUUGAACAUGUUGAUAGUGAUUUUGUUUUGAUGGGAAAUGAUACCUAAUGCAAGGUUGCGGGAAUAGGUAGAGUUCAAAUCAAGACUCAUGAUGGUGUUGUCCGAACUUUGGCUAAUGUCUGCUAUAUUCCAGAGUUCAAGCGGAACUUGAUUUCUCUUGGCACCCUAGAGUCUCUCGGGUGCAGAUAUUCAACUGAAGUGGAGUUCUAAAAGUAUUAAUAGGUGCUCUGGUAUUAUUAAAAGUUAACCAAAUUGGUAGUUUAUAUGUCUUGCAAGGAUCUGUUGUGACAAGUUCAGCAGUUGUAUCUUCUUCUAUCCCUAAUAACAACGUCACCAAAUUAUGGCACAUGCGUCUGGGCCAUAUGAGCGAAAAUGGCAUGCAUCUUCUGAGCAAGCAAAGUCGUCUUGGUAAACAUGGCAUCGGUAAGUUGGAGUUUUGCAAAUAUUGUGUUUUUGGGAAACAAAAAAAAUGUUAGUUUCUCCAUUGCAACUCAUUGUACCAAAGCUAUUCUUGAUUAUAUUCAUUCUGACCUUUGGGGGACUUCUAAAGUCUUUUCUCAUGAGGAUGCCGCUAUAUGAUGACCAUCAUUGAUGAUUUUUCUCGCAAGGUUUGGGUUUAUUUUCUGCGGCAUAAAAAUGAGACCUUCUCCACUUUCAAGAAGUGGAAAACUCUUAUUGAAACCCAAACAUGGAAGAAAGUGAAGAAGCUUAGAACAGACAAUGGAUUAGAGUUUUGCAAUGGUGACUUUAAUGAGUUAUGCACAAGUAAUGGUAUUGCAAGAUAGAAAAUGAUUCCAAGGAAUCCCCAACAAAAUGGUGUUGUAAAAUGGAUGAACAAGACUUUACUUGAGAGAGUUCGUUGUAUGCUCUCAAAUGCUAGGUUAUGGCAUCAGCGUGAAUGUUAGGCCAAAGUAGCAUCCACUUCUUGUUACUUGGUCAACUGUUCUCCACAUUCAGCACUUGACUUCAAAAUCCCAGAAGAAAUUUGGCCAGGUAAUCUUGUUAAUUAUUCUAAUUUAAGAAUUUUUGGAUGUCUGCUUAUGCAAAGGUUAAUGAUGGUAAAUUAGCUCCUAAAGAUGUUGAGUGCAUAUGUCUUGGUUAUGCAUUUGAGUGUAAAGGAUAUAACUUAUGGUGUUCUGAUUCAAAGUCACGAAAGUUAACUCUUAGUAGAGAUGUGACUUUUAAUAAGGAUGCAUUAUUAUCUUCUGAAAAACAAUAUGUUGUGUCUUCUUCUCCUAGUACAGGUAAUUUACAGGGUACUAGCGAGAAGGUGGAGUUGAUAGUGAAGCCUGUAGCUCCUAUGUUGAUGUUCCAUCUUCCUCUACAAAUCAAUCUAGCAUUGAUGAUCGUUAUGCUGAUAAUGAUGACAGUACCACUUCUCCUCUUCAUCGGUAGGAAGAUGAUUAUUGUAUUGCCCGAGACAAAACGAGAAGACUAACUAAAAGGCCAUCUAUAUACGAUGAUGGUAACAAUUUAAUUGCUAAAUGCAUUGUUAGUUGCACAAGAGGUAAAUGAUGGUGUUAAACCUAUCAGCUAUAUAGAAGUUGUUUCUUGUGUUGAUUCUUCACCGUGGCUAGUUUCUAUGAAUGAAGAAAUUGAAAGUCUUCAUAAGAAUGGUACUUGGGAUUUGAUAGAGCUUCCCAAAGGCAAACGGUCAUUGAGAUGUGAAUGGGUCUAUAAGAAGAAAGAUGGCAUUCCCAGUUUUGAAGAUCUGAGAUGCAAAGCACGAGUAGUUGUUAAAGGCUUUAAUCAAAAGGAAGGUAUUGACAUUAAUGAGAUAUUCUCACUCGUUGUUCGUCAUACUUUCAUUCGUGUUUUUUUGCUUUUGUUGUUUUAUUUGAUUUGGAGUUGGAGCAACUUGAUGUAAAGACAACUUUUCUACUGGAGAGCUGGAAGAAAACUUUUACAUGGAACAUCCUGAGAGAUUUAUUGUUCCUGAUAAGGAGCAUCUUGUCUAUUGAUUGAAGAAAUCUUUAUAUGGCCUUAAACAAGCUCCCGGAUAAUGGUACAAGAGAAUUGAUUCUUUCUUGAUUGGGCAAUGUUAUUAUAGGAGUCAAUUUCAUGACUAUAUUUAUUUCCAAAAAUUUCCAGAUGGAUCUUUCAAAUACUUGUUACUUUAUGUUGAUGAUAUAGUAAUUGCUUCACGUGUCAAGCCUUUAAUUAGGAAAUUGAAAACCUAACUCAAUAAUGAGUUUGAGAUGAAGGAAUUAGGUGCAGACAAGAAAAUCCUUGAUAUGGAGAUUCGCAGGGACCGUCAAGCUAGUAAGUUGUUCUUAUCUCAACAGAAGUAUAUUGAAAGAGUGCUUGAAAGGUUUAAUAUGAAUGAUUGCAAACAUGUUUCUACUCCACUUGCUUCACAUUUCAAGUUAUCCUCAAAUCUUUGCCCACACACAGAGAGGAAGAGAUGGAGCAUAUGUCGCAUAUUCCUUAUGCUAGUGCAGUUGGUAGUCUUAUGUAUGCUAUGGUGUACAUUAGACUUGAUUUAGCAUAUGAUGUUAACAUGGUGAGUCGAUAUAUGCAUAAUCCUGGAAAUGAUCAUCGGAGUGUUGUGAAAUGGAUUUUUCGAUAUCUAAAAGGUAUUUCUGACAUUGGUGUGGUAUUUGAUAGAAGGAAGGCUACAACCGAUGAUAUUGUAGGUUAUGUUGAUUCAGAUUAUGGUGGUGAUAUUGACUGAAGGAGAUCUCUUUCUGGUUACACCUUUACUCUCUAUAAUAAUGUUAUUAGUUGGAAAGCUACUCUUCAGUUCAUUGUUGUAUUGUCUACGAUUGAAGCAGAAUACAUUUCAGUAAUAGAGGGUGUGAAGGAGGAUAUUUGGCUCCUAGGUUUGGUACAUGAACUUGGUCUACCACAGGGUGUUCUUACAGUGUUUUGUGAUAGUCAAAGUGCUAUUCAUUUAACCAAGAAUAGUCGUUAUCAUGACAAGACCAAACACAUUGAUGAAAAUGUCACUUUAUUUUAGAUGUUGUUACUAUUGCUGAAAUUAUAGUGGAAAAGAUUCACACAUCAAAGAAUCCAACAUAUAUGCUUACCAAGCUUCUUCCAAAUACCAAGUUUUAGUGUUGGUCUAUACAUCACUUGAGCACCCUUCGGGGCUUUAUUUGGCGAUGAGCAACAUAUUGAAUUCGAGCCAAGGUGGAGAUUGUUGAGAUAUGGCUCUCAUUUAUAGCACAUCUAAGCUUCCUUCAUAAGCUUAUUAAAGGCUUCUAUGUCAAGCAUUGGAUGCUUGCUCACCAAGUCUCUAAACUUACUCACCAAGUUUUCUAAUCUUGCUCUCCAAGUUCAAAGUUUCAUCUACACUUUUUGCCUAUAAAAGGCAUCACAUGGAUAGUUUUGGUAUAUCACAAAAAAUUCAACAACUAUAUUACUUACAUGCUAGAUUGUUUGUACUUAUCGUGUGAGUGAUUUUGUGGUGAGAAUUCUUGUUCCAUUUUAAAUAAUAUUUGUGAGACAAAAUAUUAUCACUUGUCCUUAUCAUUGUAAGAGAAUUUAUUGUAUUCUUCUUUUUUACAUAGUGUUAUUUUCUUGAUUCUCUUUGAGUUCAAUUGAUCCGAUCUUGUGCUUUCGCUUAGCGCUCUAUCCCUAAUCAUUAUAAAGCCGGACGUUACUACCGUUCAGCAUAGUAACUGAAACCAUUAACUAACAAACCAAUUGCAGUGUUCACCAAACAGGAAAAGGCAAGCCCAUGUCGAAAGUGGUUUGUGUGACUGGAGCCAGCGGCGCCAUUGGGUCAUGGCUUGUACGCCUCCUCCUCGAGCGUGGCUACACCGUCCACGCCACCAUCCAAGAUCUCAGUUAAGCAAUAUUCUACACCAUUCUUCUCUUCCUCACAUAUACUCAUAAACAUCACAAAAACAAUUAAUUAACUUUCAUACCCCAAAUAAACAACAAAAUUCAGGAACUAGUUUAUUUUAUAACUAUUCUUUUUUUAUCAGAUAUAUUUAUCAGUAUUUAGUGAUCUAAAUAGACAGUUAUAUUAAUUAUUUGAAUAGCAUAAGCAUUACUGACUUAUAUAGUUAAUUUGGAGCAAUAUAAAUACAUUGGUUGGUUGGUUAAUUUUGUAGAAAUAAUUAAUGUUGUGAAAUUAACUUGCAGAGGAUGAGAAAGAGACCAAGCAUUUGGAGGCAAUGGAAGGAGCUAAGACUCGUCUUCGCUUUUUCCAGAUGGAUCUUCUUGACAGCGACUCCAUCGUCGCUGCCGUAAAGGGUUGCGCCGGAGUUUUCCACCUUGCAUGUCCUAUCAUCACUAGUCAAGUCAAAGAUCCUGAGGUUUGAAAGAAAUAACUACUUAAAAACACUCUAAUUACCAUAUUCAAAUAGCAUACCACAUAUCACUUUAUUUAUUUAAUAAUAUAAAAAGAUAGAGCCACCACUAAUUAUGUAACUAUGCUUAUUACACAAGUAUAAUUGGUCCAAAAUAUUAAUAAUUGUUUUGUUGAUAAGUUAUUGGGCAUUUGUGUGAAUUGAUAAUGUAGAAGGAGAUGUUGGAACCGGCCAUUAAAGGGACAAUUAAUGUGCUGAAAGCAGCGAAGGAAGCAGGGGUAGAGCGUGUGGUGGCGACAUCAUC